rnacentral:rRNA from 1 species
UACGAAGGGGGGCUAGCGUUGCUCGGAAUCACUGGGCGUAAAGGGUGCGUAGGCGGGUCUUUAAGUCAGGGGUGAAAUCCUGGAGCUCAACUCCAGAACUGCCUUUGAUACUGAAGAUCUUGAGUCCGGGAGAGGUGAGUGGAACUGCGAGUGUAGAGGUGAAAUUCGUAGAUAUUCGCAAGAACACCAGUGGCGAAGGCGGCUCACUGGCCCGGUACUGACGCUGAGGCACGAAAGCGUGGGGAUCAAACAGG